rnacentral:lncRNA from 1 species
AAAUAAAGAUGAAUAAGAUUGAGAUCACUCAAAGAGCAAAAUAAGAACCCAUACAUGUGUUACUAAACAUUUUUAAACUACCAAGAAGACAUUCAAUGUUCAAAUAAUUUAAGAAGUAGAAUGACGAACCAACUUCCUAGAAGACUUCAGGAACGAGAGAAACAAUUUGCACAUUUACACAAGAUCUACUUAAGUGGCCAGCCAUAGAAAUCUGAUCAAUCCCUCUUAACAAUGAUGAUUAUCCUUCAAAUAAACUCACAAUACUAUCGCCCAUCACACGAGUUUUAUCAAAAUCACAUGAGGCCCAUAGCAUAUCAUCAAAAUCUGGCCAAUUCCAUGUUAGAACAAGAAAUUUAAGACAAUGACUACUAUUUCGACACAUUAGCCAUCAAAUGCAGAUUCACACAAAAUUAGAGAUCCCAACAUUAAAGUCAAGAACAUGAACACAACUAAGCCCUUAAAAUGGCAUUUCCAAGACCUCAAUUCACCACAAUAACAACAAAUAAAGAAAUAAAUAAGUAAAUAACAGGGGGGGAUGAAUAAACUUGAACACAAGUCUUUCCGUAGUAACUGAAAAUAGAAUAAUCAGCCACAAAAUUUGAAUCCGAAAUCAACUAAAAUUGGAAACAAGAGUCGAACAGAAACACAAAUUGAACCUAACUCGAACGGCGAACACCAACCUCAAGCAAACCCCUUGUUUUGUCCGAAAAGUCCUCUAUUUUGUUCUUCUUCGGAUGUUCCCUUUGUUUUGUGUAUAUGUAUGUAUGUGGAGCUGAAGGGUGGAUAAGAUGGUAAUAGGAGCGGAUGUUUUUGGUGGUUGUUUGUGGAUGAGCAGCUAUGCUAGGUUACAGGGUGAUCGCUUGGUGGUGUGAUGACGGAGAAGAAGAGCGGCGGGGGAGUGAGGGGACUUUGUUUUGUUUGCGCUGCUUCUUCUAGUUUUUUGAAGAAAACGAUGAUGGGGGGGAGGGUCAUCUGGAGAAGACGAAGUCAGGAGGGUGGGGUUUUUGUGGGUGUCAGCGACGCUUAUUCUAAUAAUCUCCUAGGUCUAGGAUCUUUGGAGUGUUAGGUGUAUUUUUUGUGCCCCAGGUCUUAGGCGUAUGUCUCUUUCAUUUUUU